GGAUGGGGGGAGGUGUGUGUGGGGGGGGUCUCAGAUCACAGGGAUCUCCGAGUCAAUGCUGGCGUGUUCUUGGCUUGGGGAGCCUAUUAGGCCGCUGUGUUCCAGCUGCCGGCCCCGCACUUGGCGACAGUGGUUUUCACGUAUCUCUGUGUGCACUGGAGCAGGGCAGAAUGCGAUGGCUCGGAUUCAGCAGACUGAAUGGAAAGUGCCAGAGGCCCUACAGCGCAACAGCAGAUGGGAAUGGCAGUGUGAAUAUCUCUCUCUCUGUCUCUCUUUCUCUCUCUCUCUCUCUCUGUUAUCACACGCCAUCUCAUCCCACUGAGCAUUGUCAGCCACUCCCUUCACCAUCUGACCUACUGCAUUUAUGUGUGUGUGUAAGACUACAGGCCUGGCCCUGUUUCCUCUCGCCUCACUUGGCU
ensembl:lncRNA